UACAGAGGUCUCAAGCGUUGUUCGGAUUCAUUGGGCGUAAAGCGUGCGCAGGCGGUUUUGUAAGCCAGAUGUGAAAUCCCCGGGCUUAACCUGGGAAUGGCAUUUGGGACUGCAAGGCUGGAGUGUGGCAGAGGAGACUGGAAUUCCUGGUGUAGCAGUGAAAUGCGUAGAUAUCAGGAGGAAUACCGAUGGCGAAGGCAGGUCUCUGGGCUGACACUGACGCUCAUGCACGAAAGCGUGGGGAGCAAACAGG
rnacentral:rRNA from 1 species